rnacentral:rRNA from 1 species
GGCCUGGUUGGGUGGUCUUGCCGCAAGGUAAGCACUGCUCCGAUCGGGUCUUUCCUUCUGGGGAACCAGCGUGCUCUUAAUUGGGUGCGUUGGGGAUCCAGGACUUUUACUUUGAAAAAAUUAGAGUGUUCAAAGCAGGCUAACGCCGUGAAUACAUUAGCAUGGAAUAAUAAAAUAGGA